CGGUUGAUCCUGCCGGAGGCCACUGCUAUUGGAGUCCGACUAAGCCAUGCGAGUCCAGGGGGGCUUUGCCCACCGGCGGACGGCUCAGUAACACGUGGACAACCUGCCCUCGGGAGGGGGAUAACUCCGGGAAACUGGAGCUAAACCCCCAUAGGUCAUGGGUGCUGGAAGGCCCUGUGGCUGAAUUCCUUCGGGAGCCCGAGGAUGGGUCUGCGGCCUAUCAGGUUGUAGUGGGGGUAACGGCCCCACUAGCCUACGACGGGUACGGGCCUUGGGAGAGGGAGCCCGGAGAUGGACUCUGAGACACGAGUCCAGGCCCUACGGGGCGCAGCAGGCGCGAAACCUCCGCAAUGCGGGAAACCGCGACGGGGGGACCCCCAGUGCCGUGGCAUCGCCACGGCUUUUCCGGAGUGUAAAGAGCUCCGGGAAUAAGGGCUGGGCAAGGCCGGUGGCAGCCGCCGCGGUAAUACCGGCGGCCCGAGUGGUGGCCGCUAUUAUUGGGCCUAAAGCGUCCGUAGCCGGGCCCGUAAGUCCCUGGCGAAAUCCCACGGCUCAACCGUGGGGCUUGCUGGGGAUACUGCGGGCCUUGGGACCGGGAGAGGCGGAGGGUACCCCUGGGGUAGGGGUGAAAU
rnacentral:rRNA from 1 species